AAAAGGGAGCUGAGCGCGGGUUGGAGCGCAGAGCCCCGAGGGCGCAGGACAGUGCUGGGGGCUGUCGGAGCGCACCUGGAGGGGGCAGAACUCUCACCAAGAGCGGAGGGCGCCUCAUCCAACGUGCGCCCUUGGGUCUUUGCCAGAGACAGCUCUGGCCCCUUCUAGUGCCUAAAGUCAAUACUGAGACCCCAGACAUGUCCAGAGACAUCCUGAAGAGACUGAGCAAUUAAGGAGCCUUAAGGUAUCCACAAGGAGAUUCCUGAAGCCAUCUCAGAGUCAGAGAGUUUGCCUGCCGUUUGAUCAUUGAUUCUAAUCCUCUCCUUAUGCAGAUGAGGAAACUGAAGCUCAAAGAAGAGUAAAAAUGCAAGUCAGUGGCAAAGCCAGGACUGCAACCCAGACCUUCUUUGUUCCCAGCAUUUCCCAAGUGGGUUUUGUGUAGUGAUUAUAGAUAUCCCAUGAAUAAAAUUUUCCAUCAACAAGAAAAUUUGUAAAACAUUGGUUUAAGGUUAAAUAGACAUCUUUUGCAGAGUUUUUCAGACAUUUCUCUCUGCAACAUGAAUCUCCAAGAAGGAAUAUAAUAUGGAACAAAAAUAUCUGAUAUGAAAACCUCUUUCAGGAACACAUUAAAUAUCUCUUAAAACUCUUUCAGAAAUGCUGCUCUAUAUACUGCUUUAGGGCAGUGGAAGUUUCCAUGGGUUUAGAUCUGUGGGGUGUGGUUGUUCUUAUUUCAAAUUAGAAGCACACAUAUUCCUUCCAUUAGGCCUUUCUGCCGGCAUCCCUGUCCUUUUGAGCCUGAGAAUACACAAGUAAUGAAAACCAGAUUCCAGGAAAAGCAUACUUGUUUAGAGUCACCCAGUUGCAUCCAAAAGGCAGAUCCAAUAUGCCUCUCUCCCAGGACUGAGAAUACAAAGACAAAACAUACACCACGACCCCAAAAUUCUUUCCAUUUUGGGUAAUUUUCUCAUAGUCUUCACAUUACAAAAUUAAAAGCUAAUGUCCCAUUUAAAGUCACAUGAGAAACAGGAAAAUCAGAAUUCUCAGCUCCACAACUUAUUAGCCAUUUGACCUACACUGAUAAAUUCACCUGCUUAUCCCUUUACUUUUUUUAAUUUCUAUUUUUUUUUAUAGUUGUAGAUGGACUUAAUACCUUUAUUUUAUUUAUUUAUCUUUAUAUGGUGCUGAGGAUUGAACCCAGGGCCUCACUCUACCACAGGGCAAGCAUUCUACCACUGAGCUACAGCCCCAGCCCCUGUCCCUUUACUUUUAUUCAAUACUCUCUUGAAUCAAAUUAACCUCAUGCCUCUUUUUAUUUUUUUAUUUUGGUGCUGGGGAUUGAGCCCAGUGCCUCAAAUAUGCCAGGCAACUGCUACACCACUGAGCUACAUCCCCAGCCCUAAUCUCUCCUUUCUUUAAACUACCACACUUUUAGAUUUAAUCUGUAGCAAGCCCUUGAAAAUCUCUACGGGACUUAGUUUGGAAACCAGCUGACUAGAUGAUCUCUAUGGUUCUUUUCAGCUCUGAUGGUCUGUGAUUAGAAUUGUUAGAUAGUUUUGUGACCUCUUGCCUCCACCUGUUAACAAAGGCCCCUAGCUCCUUGAGAAAUGCUCCUCUUAAUAUCUGAGAGGCUUAAAGGGUGAAUCUCACAAGCUAUACUGAUGAGAUGCCAGGUGGCAUGGAUUCUUAGAGUUCUCAGUAUGUGGAAUCCAUUAUAUAGAACUUACAGAGGGGAGAAGAUCACCUGUCCACCCAUCACGCUGUAUGUCACUUGGGCCUUUAAUAGGUAUUACAUGUGCCCUUUUGACUCAUAGUUUUUAGUAAAGUGAUUCUUAUAUAUAUUUCUGAUUUCUCCCUCACCCCCAUUUUAUUUCCACAAAUUACUAAAUAUAAACUGCUGGUGGGCUUGCCGUAGGGCCAAUGGCAAUGUGGGGCUGCCAUGAACCCAAGAAACAAAAUUGCAUGCUAAACCCAAUGUUGAAUUUGGAUCCGCUCCUCCUUGCUUUUGAAGAUUCUGUUACUGAACUCACAUUGCUUAACUUUUCACUUUCUUUAGAAUGAGUUCUCUCCUAGGAGAGACCUAAAGCCCUCAGGAAAAACAGACUUUUUGUGAUUCGGGCCUACUGGGUUGGAGUGCCUGUAUGGAUCCACAGGGAAACAGAUCAAGAUGGAGUAAGAAGUGCAAGAAAUUUAUUGGGGGAAACACCUAUGAAAGCAUAAAGGUGUGAGGCAUCUGGUGUAGGUGGGAGAGCCUCAGAUUGUGAUGCAGGUCUAAUACCAGUUUAAAAACAGAGGGAAGGAUCAAGUAGAGGGAGUCUCAGACUUUGAUGGGGCUUUGAGAAAGUCUCAGCUAGGUCGAUGGGAAGCUGAGAUUGUCUGUUUGAGGAGCUCUGUGUUGGGCAGAUAUGAGCUAGCUUUAGUACCAGGGAGACUGUAAUGGAGUGAGGUGGGUGAGGGUAAACACUGCAAUAAAUCCUGGAAGGUGCACCUAGAUGCCAGCAGCUGACUAUACUCCUCCCAGCAGGUUCCUUAGGAGAUCUGAGCAGCACACCCCCUAGGGCUGCCCCAUGGAUGCACAUGCCCACAGUCUGAAUUACAAAAAUGGACAUAAUUUGGGGGGAUAGUUCUAGAGAAUGGACCUAGGGGUGCUUAACCACUGAGCCAUACUCCCAGCCCUUUUUAUUUUUAUUUUGAGGAAGGGUCCCGCUAAGUUGCUUAGGGCCUUGCCAGUUGCUAAGGCUGGCCUAUGUGGACAUUAUUUAAACUCAAACUGAGGUCUAUUGAACACUAAACCUGUUUUGAUAAAAGUUAUCUCAAUUGUAAUAAUAUUUAUUACAAAUAUUUAAUACGUGUAGAAAAGAUAUUGUAUUAGGCACUGCAGCAGCCCUUCCCUUUCCAGUGGCAUAAAAAGCUAAAAAAGGGCUAGUAUGGGAAGAUUUCAGGCAAUUAGAUGAGUUGUUAUGACCAUUAUUGUCAACAAUACGCAUGUCUUAAUAACCUCCGUUGUAUAUUAACACCAGGUCAAUAUGAAAGAAAAUAAUCCUUAGGGAGCUCAAAGUAAGUUUGCAAUAAAAUAUCCCUUACCUUUGGGGAGCUCAGAGCAGAUUUUAGUUUUCAUGCCAUUCACUGAAUGCUCCAAGGACAUAGGAGCCUUUUAGUAGAAUUGGCCUUGGAGAUUGCCAAAAAGACCUUGAAACUGAUCUGGCAGCCAGUUUGGUAGUGCAAGGGCAUGCUCCACCCCCAGGACCCUGCCAGCCAAGAUUCAGGAUUUGCUGAGAUGCAGGCCCAACACCUGUUGUGGCUACUGGACAAGAUUCAAAAUUUGAGAAUGGAGGGAAGAGGAAGGAACUAGAAAAGAGCAAUUUGUAGCUAGAAGAAGUAAGACAGAAGGCUAUUUAGAACCGUACAAAAAAUUCAUUCCAAUUUAAUCACCUGGCACAAAAGAAAGCGUCAGUAGUAGAGCACUGGCUAUGAUGUCUAAUCUCUGCCUCUACACCCUGGCUGACCUUUGUCACUCAAUGCCCCUUUGGGCCUGUGCUCCUUGGCUAUAGUCUGCAGAGCUAAGCCAGAUACUCUUGAAAGUUCUUCCAUUUGAAUAGUCUAGAAUUCUAACAGCUUCUUUAAGAUAAUCUUGGAAGAGCUUACAGAGAAGCAAGAAAGAGAAGAGGAACGGGAUGGAAAGAAUUCCCCAUGAACCCAGAAAUAAUAUAUCAUCAUAUCACAACAUAAUAUCCUCACCCCCUACCCUAACCUAACAAGCAUUACCAUGGGUGUGGAGUCUGGUAAUGGGGACCAGUAACAUCUUAAGGUGGAGCUAAUUUCAUGAUUGAGAUACCAGGGCAUUGAAAUAUGACCCUGUUCUAUCUUUAAAAAAAAAUUUUUUUUUGUAGUUGUAGAUGAACAGAAUGCUGUAUUUUAUUUGUUUAUUUUUAUGUGGUGCCAAGGAUUGAACCCAGUGCUUCACGCAUGCCAGGCAAGCGCUCUACCACUGAGCUACAGCCCCAGCCCUGUUCUAUCUUUACACAGAGGUGCAGAUGGUUGGAGAAGGAAAGUUGUCCCACCUGUCAGCUGGUUCUAAAAGAUCUGUGAUUCAUAUAUAUAUUUCAGCAACACACGAACCCUCAAUGUAACUAAAGAAAACAUGAAACUGUACUGAGCUCUCUUCCAGUUUUUUUUUCUUAUAAAAACAAACAAUUUCUACACUCCUUUAAAUCUGCAUUUGCUUUCAUUUCCACUUAGAUAAGAAUGCUGAAAGGGUUUUUUCCCCAGGCCUAAUAUUUUAGGAUUCUAUAAAUAACAGGGGCGCAUAUACCCUUAUUAGUUUCUCCUAUUGAGCUAAGAAAAUGCCACAGAUGAAAGAAAGAAAAAGAAAGAAAGAGAGAAAGAAAAAGAAGGAAACAAAAAACUGCAGUCCAGGGAAUAACAUAAUUAGCAGCCAAUCAUGAAAAGGCUAUGCAAUCCUCAGGCCUUCUGAUACUUAACCUUCCAGGCUAGGCCUCCCAGAGAGGAUCAGGUUUUCUCUUGGGGUUACUUCCUUUUUGAAUUAAGCACCACUGCAGGCCACAGUCCAGAAACACAAACUCUUAACCUAGUCCCCGAUAGACAAACAGAUCUGGGGAGAUUGAAUGACCUGCAGGGACAGAGUGCUCAGGGUUCCAUGGAAGACCAGACUAAAAAGAAGGAGAAGGAAUUGUGGCUUCAGAGAGGACACCAGAGCAGCCACAGGAGGGCCAUACUGCCUCAAUAAAUAAUGGCACAUUUGGCAGCUGACCCCGUUCUGGGACAGGCCUGAGGCCUUCAGGUAGGCAGCCUGCUAAUGUACUCUGGCCCUUCGAUCUCAGCCUAAAUGUAAUUUCCUCCGGGAAGCAGAGUGCCACACACAGCUGUGCUGGCUGCAUACACCUAGGGUGUGCUGAACACAGCAUAGUGAAUACAGACUUAUAAAAGUUUAAGACAAAUUUCUGUCAUUUGGCAUCAAGAGUUUUGAGGAAAGGAUGCUUAUUUCUCCUUUUUGUUCUUCUCUUUCUGUUUCACAGAAAGUUACAAUAGGGACUGGCACUAGCCCUGCUGACAGUCCUUCCCUAACUCUUUUUUUUUUUUUAAUUUUUAUUUGUUCUAUUUAUUUGUACAUGACAGCAGAAUGCAUUUCAAUUUAUCACCUUCCCUAACUCUUAUCAAAACAAGUUUAGUGCUUCUCAUAGCUACUUAAAACUCCUUCCACCAUUCCAUCUACCAUACUUUAUCUUAAUUUCCUGUUUUCUGGGAUAUAUAUUAUGCUAGAUUAUCAUCUUUGUGAGGACAGAGACCAUGUCCUAGUUAGUCCUAUACUUGGGUCCUAGAAUGGCACUUUGUCCUAGCACAGGCUCAAUGAUGUUUGUUGACUGAAUGAACAACAUAUUCUGAAUCACUUUAAGGCUCUUGCCCAAGUGGACAGAGAGCUUGGCAUUUCUAGCAAAUAGUACUAGCUAUAUCCUGGGCUCAAGAUCUUAAUCUAACUGGAUGCAAUGGUGCAUGCCUGUAAUUCGGAGUGAAUUCGGAUUUUGAGGCAGGAGGAUAACAAGUUCAACGCCAGCCUCAGCAAUUUAGCAAGGCCCUAUGCAACUUAGUAAGUUCCUGUCUCAAAAGAAAAAAUAAAAAGGGCUGGGUAUGUUGCACAGUGGUAAAGCAUCCCUGGGUUCAACUCCCACUACCACACACACACACACACACACACACACACACACACCAGAAGUAUCACCUGGUAAACCACAAAAAUACUGAACACAUGAGAAGUAAGGGGCUGCCCCAGGGAAGCUGAAUCAUAUGUAGUCACCUCCAGCAGAAAAUUUGUCUUCUUUCAAAUGGUGUAACCCACAUAGCUUAUAGACGGAGAAACCAGAGUCUCAGAGAGGGAAAAUUUCUUAUCUAACAUCACAUAAUAAAAGGGAGCUCACAGCUAACCCAAGAUCGGAUUCCAGGUUAUCUGACACUUGAUUUUCCCAUUAAACUUCCCUUUGUUUUUUUGCAUGUUUAUGACCUGAGAGUUGAGGUCAGGGAAAGAGCUGAAUGCUAGGGACAGAAAGCCCAAAAUGUCAAAGGACAAAUUUAUUGCUUCACAUAAGAAGCGCUGGAAAUAGAUAUAAUAAUGCCACAAAGUAGACUGUAUUCUUUUCUUUAUUUUUGGUACUGGGGAUUGAACCAGGGGUGCUUUAUCACUGAGUUACAUUUCAGCCCUUUAUAUAUAUUUUUUUGUUUUGAGGCAGGAUCUUACUAAAUUGCCAAGGCUAGUCUUGAAUAUGUGAUCCUCUGUCUCAGCCUCCCCAGUAGCUGGGAUUACAGGCAGGUACCACUAUGCCCAGCGGACUGUAUUCUCAUUCUCCUCUUCUUCUCACCCUCCUAUGCUGUGUCACCUUCCUCUUUUCUCUGGGUGUCAGCCUACUGAGUACAGACCAGUUUCCUCCUCACAGCAAAGGACACGGCUACUAAUAGCUUCUGGCUCCAUCUCACUGUUUUGCCAUCUGAGAGGAACUGAGCCCCUAUCCUUAUUUAAAAUUGGCAAAAUCUCUCCUCACCCUGGCUUGAAGUGACACAUCUACCCUUGUGCUAAUGAUUUUCAAUCUUUACCAGAACUACUAGAUUGGAGUGGGGGAAUCAGUGUUGAAAAAAAGGGGGAUACUGUUCCAAGAAGAAAGAAUGGGUACUAGGCAGACAAAAUGAUUGAUGUCCACCACAGUAUUCUAAAGAUCAUUCUCCCACUGAGAUCUGAAGUGUCACCAUUUGCAAUCAGUUUUCUUUAUUUUGGGCCCUGCUCCUCUAAGAUCAUUUCUCCAUAUACCUUCUCUGAGUUCUAUAAUAGAAAGAGGAAAGCAGGAGGGUGCCAAGAUCAGGAGGGAGACAGGAAACUAAAUAAAAUCACAGUGUGCUUUCCUCUGCAAACCUUCAGUAAGCACAGAAGUGAGCCAUGAAUUACAAAAGUUAGUUUCCUUUCUAGAAUUGUUACUUAGUGACUUCAUUGGCUCAGUAUCAGGUCCUACAUUCCUUUAUGCUCUGGCCAGGCUGUGGCUGGAGUGUCAGUGUUGCUGAACUGUAGCACUAAGCUACUCAAUAUAGCUUGGCUGACUUCUGUGAUGAGUGUUCAGUUCUUGUCUCCUUCAACCCACAUAGUUUAUAGUUGGAGAAACCGGAGUCUCAAAGAAGGAAAAUUCCUUAUCCAACAUCACAUAAUAAAAAAGGAGUUUAUGGCUAAACCAAGAUCAGAUUCUAGGUUAUCUGAAACUUGACUUUCCCAUUAUGCUUCCCUUUGUUUUUCUGCCUGUUUAUGACCUGAGAAAUGAACUACUCUUAAUCUCACUUUUCCCCAUUCUUUUCUCUCUAGGAAAACCUCGUGAGAUGCCUUCUCUGGUCACUUUCACUACAUUAUUCACCUUUGGGUUAUGAUCAACUAGACUUUGUCUUAUUCUCAGCUGUCAGGAAUGAAAUUCCAGUACCAGAUGUUGACCUCAAUAAUGUGGCAUUCUCUUCACUGCUCCUCUGCAUGAGCUCACUAUUUAAGCGAGCUAGUCUUAUAAAAUUUCAGAAACAAUCCUGGCCAACUCCUACUUAUCUCUUGAGUAUCCAUUUAGAUCACAUCAUUUCAAGAGGUGAAAUACAUUGUAUUUGGUUUCUCUCCCCACCCUGAGUCAGGAAUACUUCCUGGAAGAUCUGGUAACACCCCAUGCUUACUCUAACAAAAAGGUCUCCAUGCUGUAUAGUAAUCACCUGCUGACUUCAUCUCUCUUCUCUGCUCUUCUGUAAAAUCUGUGACAACAGAGACAAUUUCUGUUUACCUUUCCAUUAUUUUCCUCCUGACCCAGAAAAGAACCUGAUACCAAUGAUAAAUGCUGCAAAACUAUUUGUUGAAUCAGUGACUAGAACUCUGACUUCAUGUUCCUAAUUAUUUGCACACUAGAAAUCAAAUGACAAAAAGAUUUGAAAUGUUUUAUAGGUGAACAUACAAUACAGAUAUUAAGGAUUUAUUACCCUAAUGGGACUUAUACUAGCUAUCAUUAUAAUAUAAGCCUUUCCUACCUUUGACAAAAAGAUGAAAAAAAUUCAGUAGUCCAUCCACAAAAAUUGAGCAGACACUUAAAUCUUUAGAAGGUCUGUGCUACUGUCAAAAGCAAACACAUUAUCAGAAUAAAAUUCUGCCUUUGGGAUGUCCCCCUCACCUUGAUGGUAGGCUGGGCUGCCCAUCUGCUUGAUGACCAUGACUUGAGUGCUCACUAUGAGUCAGCUCCUGCUCUAAGUUUUUUACUUAUGUUACCUCAUUUGCAACAAGCCUUUGAGGCAGGUUCUAUUUUUAUUACUUUUUAACAGAUGGCAAUACCAAAACACAGAGAAAUUCUAUGACGCUAGAAGUCAUAAAGCUGCUGAGCAGUUGAGCUAGGACACAAACCCGGCUCUUACUCUGAAUCACUGUGCUAUAAGACUCUUCCUUCCUCUAUUUCUUCUACAACAACUUUCUACCUUAAUUAGACGAGCCUACUGUUUUCCAAACAUACCUUGGGUUUUACCAAUUCUAUAGAUCUAAUACUGUAAUUUUUAAAACAAUUUAAAGGAGAGUUAUAGAUUACCUUAUCAAGAAUUGCUAUGUCAUAGGUGACCAAGUAGUAGUAUGUAUUUUGGAAAGAAUACGAUCUUUGCAACAAGGAAGACCUAACAUCAAAACCUGUCCAUUUCAGUUACCUAAUAACAAACCUCUUUAUAAUAUAGCAGCUCAGAACAACAACUAUUUCUUCUCACAGUUUUGUGGACUGGCAGGACAGUUCCUCUGCUGGCUUCUCCUGCAGUUGCUCAGCUGGAGGGUUGGCUGGGCUGGAAGGUUCACCAUCAUCUCACUUAUGUGUCUGGCUUGAAAAGGAACCUUCCUUUGGCCUCUCAUCCUCCCAGCAAGACCAGCUUCCUUAGAUAGUGGCCUUGAUGAGAGCUACUGAAAAGAACUGUGAUAUUUAGUCUCCUUCAAUUCCUAGCUAAUGGACCGCAGGAAAUUACAUUUUAUUUCCUGAUAUCAAUUUCAUUAUCUAUACAAUUUCGAUUGUUUAUCCCAAUUAUUGUAUACAAUUGAAAUUAUAUAGAUUGUAAUCCAAUUAUCCCAGGUUCUUGUGAGCAUUAAAAGAAAUAAUAGGUUAAGUAUGUAGCAAAUUUCCUGCCAUGUAGCAAUCAUUCAUUUAAUGUCGGUUCUCUUUGCUCUAUGUCAUUUUUUUACUUGCCACUUCUAGGGCUUGGAGUGAAGGCAUCCUCCCCUUCCCCAUAAUCUCUCCACAGUCUGUUUAAAUACUAUACUUUUAUCAAUCAAUACUAUACUUUCUCUACCUCCAUGUCCUCUAAAAAAAUGUCCCAAAUCAUCAACUUUCAAUAAUUAUCUACUUUAGAAAAUUCCAAAUUCCUAUUAUGUAUUUAUUGUUCUCAGUCUUUCUUUCAUCUCCACAGGGGAAAACCACUUAAUAGAUUUGUUUUACAUGUAAAUUUAUUUAUUUUUAUGCACAGUUUAUAAUCUCUGACUAGCUGGUGUCAGAAUACCACUCCUUUCUUCACAGUUAAAGAAUGCCACUGAAAGGCAAGUGAAUGAGAAAGUCUUUAUCAUCCCUAUGACUGCUUUAAAGGAAAAUCAUUUGCAAAAUUUGCUACCUUAUUAUUAGCAACAAAUUACUUGUCAUGCUUCACUGGUUUAAGUUUUUUUAUUAACCACUAAAUACAUGCUCCUUUUAAAAAAUCCUUUUGUGGAUCUGUCCUAUAUUCCUAACUGGAUAAAAAAAUACUAAUAAAACCAAGAACCUUUAUAUAUAUGCAUAUGUAUAACAUAUAUGCACAUAUAUAUUUUAUUUAUCUUGUAUUCGGUUAUCAUACCCUAAACAUAAGAGAACACAUUUCCCAACACUCUUUAUUGAGGUUUAUGUGGACAAGGAGUGAAGCAGCUAAAGAAUAGUGGGAAAGAAACUGGAUUUAGAACCACAGAACCUAAGCUUAUGUGCUGGCUAUUGGGUUGUGGACCAUGAAGUUACUUAUGUAUUCCUUAAGCUUCUUUACUUCUAUAGGAGAAAACACUGGAUGAGAAGAGUAGGAGCUCUUGGGUACUCAAAAUGCAUUUAAGCCAGUGGGUAUUAAAGGGGUAUGUGUGUUUCUAAAUAUAUUUCAAUAAAAUAUAUUCCUCCUUCUCAUAUUCACUAAUGCACAUCAAAUAGGACAGGGCAAAGAGAGUAGUAUUUGGAAAAUGUUUUCUCAGUGAGAAACAUGACAGCCUUAGAAUCUAAGAUAUUCACUGUAAUUAACAACUGUGUGCAGUUGCAGGGAGGAAGCAUCUUUGCCCAUAUUUCCAUAUUAUUCUGAUUAUUAAAAGCCAUUUUUAAAACUGAACCCAGUUACCAUUUUCUCAGAGUAUUCAUCUCCAGGUGACUAGAAAGGGGAACACUGAGAUUCAUAGGUUUCUUAAGCUCUCUAUGGUCUACUAAAAGCCACCUUGCUACAUUUCCUAAUCAUAUUGUCACUUUCUUAAUACUUUCUUCCUUAUCACAGUCAAGCCAGAAAAGUUCUUACAUUGACGGGAGCUUGUAUAAACCCUUGAAGGUAACACAAUAACUGCUGCCUAACUACUCUCCAGCAGCAUAGAAGUUUGCUUUCCUGUCAUAAUUCACACUAACUGUUAUAGCUAUAUUUGGUCUUGCACAGGAAGAGACACCCCAAAGUGCUCAAUAAGUACUUUUGAGCUGACCAACUAGAAUUACCAUACAUUUUUGUUCUUUAUCGGGGCAAUGAAGAAGAACCUCUAAUUCAAACCAACUCUGGCUCUUACUAGUUCAGGGAAAAGUCUAAGGAAAGGGGAGAGAAUUAAACCUUAGGGAGGUUGUUAACAAUCUAGCAUUUUUAAGUCAGGUGGGAAUAUUUAAUUUGUUCACCAAAGAGAGCAACAUGAUCUCCAGGGUAUGAUGAGAACAAUGCUAUGUGCCUACAGCAAACAAUACCAUAUUGUGCACUUAAAGGAAAAGGGUACACUUGUACAUUGCUGGUGGGACUGCAAAUUGGUGCGGCCAAUAUGGAAAGCAGUAUGGAGAUUCCCGGGAAAGCUGGGAAUGGAACCACCAUUUGACCCAGCUAUCGCCCUUCUGGGUCUAUUCCCUGAGGACCUUAAAAGAGCAUACUAUAGGGAUACUGCCACAUCAAUGAUCAUAGCAGCACAAUUCACAAUAGCUAGACUCUGGAAUCAACCUAGAUGCCCUUCAAUAGAUGAAUGGAUAAAAAAAAUGUGGCAUUUAUACACAAUGGAGUAUUACGCAGCACUAAAAAAUGACAAAAUCAUGGAAUUUGCAGGGAAAUGGAUGGCAUUAGAGCAGAUUAUGCUAAGUGAAGCUAGCCAAUCCUUAAAAAACAAAUGCCAAAUGUCUUCUUUGAUAUAAAGAGAGCAACUAAGAACAGAACAGGGAGGAAGAGCAUGAGGAAAAGAUUAACAUUAAACAGAGACGAGUGGGGGGAAAGAAAGGGAGAGAGAAGGGAAACUGUAUGGAAAUGGAAGGAGACCCUCAUUGUUACACAAAAUUACAUAUAAGAGUUUGUGAGGGGAAAGGGGAAAAAAAAACAAGGGAGAGAAUUGAAUA